rnacentral:ncRNA from 2 species
AGGGGCGAUGGUCAUUUUGGUUGAAAUGCCAGGAUGCGUGCGUAGUGAUUAAAAGGGAAUCAGGUGAGAAGCCUGAGCAGUCCCGCUGCUGUAAACAUCUAUCCUCCUCUUGGGGGAGGGCAGGCAAGCACCAAAAGGUCACUGACAUUUUUUCGGGAAGACCGCUUGCCUUGGGUCACACAUCAUUAUAUAUAGGGCAGGAUGCCGAUUUCAUGGAAUAUCUGCGGAAAGCUCGUAGCGAUGUGAAGACGAGAUGUAAGUCAGAAGACCUGCCGUUGUCAUCUCUGCAUC